CUCUCAGGCCCCCCCUACUCUCUGGCCCCCUAGUCUCUGGCCCCCUUGCUCUCUGGCCCCUUGCUCUCUAGCCCCCCCUUGCUCUCUAGCCCCCCUAGUCUCUGGCCCCUGGACUCUAACCCCCCUUGCCCUCUACCCCCCCUACUCCCUGUAUAGGUCUGUGGGACAGGGGAGGGUGGGAUGGGCUGUUCCACAUGUCAUUGCUUUCAACCUGAUGAUUCUAGUUUUUAUUUGUACCUUUUUUUUAAAUUAUAAUUUCCAUUAAAACUCUCUUGUUUUAAAUAA